rnacentral:rRNA from 1 species
CUCUGUCUCUGGAAAAGGGUUAUGGAGGUAGAGCACUGAAUGUAGUAGAGUGUUAGACCUCUUAAUCCGUUCAUAUACCGUAUGUCAUAUAUGGAUGCCAGGGAGAAAGACUAUGGGGAAUAAGCUUCAUGGUCGAGAGGGAAAGAGCCCAGACCGACAGCUAAGGUUCCGAAGAAGCGGCUAAGUGUGAAAGGAAGUGGACCUCUUGAGACAGCCGGGAGGUUGGCUUAGAAGCAGCCAUCCUUAAAAGAGUGCGUAACAGCUCACCGGUAGAAGAGGACUGCGCCGAAAAUGUAACGGAGCUAAAGCCGCGCACCGAAGCUACGGUAUAGCCGAAAGGCUAUAGGUAGGGGAGCGAUGUGCAAGGGAGAAGCAUAACUGAAAGGUUAUGUGGACGAAGCACAAGAGAGAAUGCAGGCAUGAGUAACGAAAUGGGAGUGAGAAUCUCCCACCCCUAAAGUCUAAGGGUACCUGGGGAAGGGUCGUCCGCCCAGGGUAAGUCGGGACCUAAGGUGAACCCGAAAGGGGUAGCCGAUGGAAAACGGGUAAAGAAUCCCGUACCGGUAAAAGAGGAGCUGCAAGGGGGGACACAGGAGGUAAAGCUACCGAGAUAGGGUUGCGAAUCUUCCAAGCGACGAUGCCGAAGAAGCUGGUAGGGAAAUCCGCCGGUGGAGGAGGAGUCGUGAUGGGGAGGCCGCAAGGCCAACGGUAGAUAAUCACACUGUCGAGAAAAGCCUCGUGUAGUGUUGAACCUUUUACCGCCCGUUCUGGAAACCGACACAGGUAGACGAGCUGAGAAGGCAAAGGGGAGCGGAAUAACCUUCGUUAAGGAACUAGGCAAAAAGGCCCCGUAACUUCGGGAGAAGGGGUGGACUAUUAGGAUGAGUAAUCAUGCUAAUAGAGCCGCAGUGACAAGUCCCUAGCGACUGUUUACCAAAAACACAGGUCUCUGCGAACACGGAAGUGGAAGUAUAGGGACUGACGCCUGCCCAGUGCCGGAAGGUUAAGGGGAGGGGUGAGAGCUCCGAACUGAAGCCCCGGUAAACGGCGGCCGUAACUAUAACGGUCCUAAGGUAGCGAAAUUCCUUGUCGGGUAAGUUCCGACCUGCAUGAAUGGCGUAACGAUUAGGGAGCUGUCUUAACGGAGGAUCCGGUGAAAUUACAAGCUCGGUGAAGACGCCGAGGACCCGCAGCUAGACGGAAAGACCCCGUGGAGUUUUACUGUAACCUGACAUUGUAACUUAUCGUUGUAUGUACAGGAUAGGCGGGAGGCGAAGAAAGCUGCUCGCCAGGGCAGCUGGAGCCGGCAGUGGGAUACCGCCCUUACAACGAUGGGUUACUAACGGGAGAAAGUGAAGAGCUUGACCUGGACAGUGUUAGGAGGGCAGUUUAACUGGGGCGGUUGCCUCCUAAAAGGUAACGGAGGUGUUCGAAGGUAGGCUCAAGUGGGUUGGGAAUCCACUGAAGAGUGCAAAGGCAAAAGCCUGCCUAACUGAGAGACUGACGAGUCGAACAGGAGGGAAACCUGGACUUAGUGACCCGGCGGUUCUGAGAGGAAGGGCCGUCGAUCAACGGAUAAAAGUUACCCCGGGGAUAACAGACUAAUCACGCCCGAGAGUUCACAUCGACGGCGUGGAUUGGCACCUCGAUGUCGGCUCAUCGCAACCUGGGGCUGAAGCCGGUCCCAAGGGUUGGGCUGUUCGCCCAUUAAAGCGGUACGUGAGCUGGGUUCAGAACGUCGUAAGACAGUUCGGUCCCUAUCUGCUGCGGGGGUAGGAAGCUUGAAGGGGGUUGCUCCUAGUACGAGAGGACCGGAGUGAGUAUGUCCCUGGUGAAUCAGCUGUUAUGCAAAUAGCAGGAGCUGAGUAGCUACACAUAUAACCGAUAACCGCUGAAAGCAUCUAAGCGGGAAACGGGCCCAAACAAUAGGCUUCCCACUCAUAGGAGGUAAGGGCAGUCUGAGAAGAAGACGUAGAUAGGCCGCAGGUGUAAGUACUGAGAAGUAUUGAGCCGAGCGGUACUAAUAGCCCGAGGCUUUGGACG